rnacentral:rRNA from 1 species
GAUGAACGCUGGCGGCGUGCCUAAUACAUGCAAGUCGAGCGAACAGACGAGGAGCUUGCUCCUCUGACGUUAGCGGCGGACGGGUGAGUAACACGUGGAUAACCUACCUAUAAGACUGGGAUAACUUCGGGAAACCGGAGCUAAUACCGGAUAAUAUAUUGAACCGCAUGGUUCAAUAGUGAAGGACGGUUUUGCUGUCACUUAUAGAUGGAUCCGCGCCGCAUUAGCUAGUUGGUAAGGUAACGACUUACCAAGGCAACGAUGCGUAGCCGACCUGAGAGGGUGAUCGGCCACACUGGAACUGGGACACGGUCCAGACUCCUACGGGAGGCAGCAGUAGGGAAUCUUCCGCAAUGGGCGAAAGCUUGACGGAGCAACGCCGCGUGAGUGAUGAAGGUCUUCGGAUCGUAAAACUCUGUUAUUAGGGAAGAACAAAUGUGUAAGUAACUAUGCACGUCUUGACGGUACCUAAUCAGAAAGCCACGGCUAACUACGUG